rnacentral:rRNA from 1 species
GACGAACGCUGGCGGCGUGCUUGACACAUGCAAGUCGAACGGAAAGGCCCUGCUUUUGUGGGGUGCUCGAGUGGCGAACGGGUGAGUAACACGUGAGUAACCUGCCCUUGACUUUGGGAUAACUUCAGGAAACUGGGUCUAAUACCGUAUAGGAUCUCCUGCUGCAUGGUGGGGGUUGGAAAGUUUCGGCGGUUGGGGAUGGACUCGCGGCUUAUCAGCUUGUUGGUGGGGUAGUGGCUUACCAAGGCUUUGACGGGUAGCCGGCCUGAGAGGGUGACCGGCCACAUUGGGACUGAGAUACGGCACAGACUCCUACGGGAGGCAGCAGUGGGGAAUAUUGCACAAUGGGCGGAAGCCUGAUGCAGCAACGCCGCGUGCGGGAUGACGGCCUUCGGGUUGUAAACCGAUUUCGCAUGUGACGAAGCGUGAGUGACGGUAAUGGGUAAAGAAGCACCGGCUAACUACGUG